AGCUCCGAUAGCGUAUAUUAAAGUUGUUGCAGUUAAAAAGCUCGUAGUUGGAUCUGGGGCGUCCGCGACCGGUCUCCCACACGUUGGGUGCACUGGACCGCGUGGCCCGCGCGAGGCGUACGGCGACGGGUGCCCUUUGCUGGGUGUCCCGUGUCAGCUGUCGUCCCUUUUACCUUGAAGAAAGUGGAGUGUUCAAGGCAGGCCUCCGAGCCUGGACAAUGUCGCAUGGAAUAAUGGAAUAUGAGCGCUGCUCUAUUUUGUUGGUUUUCGGAACUGCGCUAAUGAUUAAAAGGGACUGCCGGGGGCGUUAGUAUUGCGGGGAGAGAGGUGAAAUUCUUGGACCCUCGCAAGACUGCCAAGAGCGAAAGCAUUCGCCAAGAAUGUCUUCAUUAAUCAAGAA
rnacentral:rRNA from 1 species